GAACUGGGAUAUAUACUAUGAAUUGCAGAAUUCAGUUAGCCGGUGAGUAUGCCUGUUUCAGCACCACAACGCAGUGGCGAUUUAACAUCGUCGAUGAUGGGCCUUGACUGAAAUUCAAUUGGUAUCAAACCAGGCAGGACUACCCGUCGAACUAGA
rnacentral:misc_RNA from 1 species